rnacentral:miRNA from 1 species
AAUUUUAGGAGCUCUGCAA